UACGAAGGGGGCUAGCGUUGCUCGGAAUGACUGGGCGUAAAGGGCGCGUAGGCGGAUGGUACAGUCAGAUGUGAAAUUCCCGGGCUUAACCUGGGGGCUGCAUUUGAUACGUGUUGUCUAGAGUGAGGAAGAGGGUCGUGGAAUUCCCAGUGUAGAGGUGAAAUUCGUAGAUAUUGGGAAGAACACCGGUGGCGAAGGCGGCCAUCUGGACGACAACUGACGCUGAGACGCGAAAGCGUGGGUAGCAAACAGG
rnacentral:rRNA from 1 species